AGCGAACGCUGGCGGCAGGCCUAACACAUGCAAGUCGAACGAACUCUUCGGAGUUAGUGGCGGACGGGUGAGUAACACGUGGGAACGUGCCUUUUGGUUCGGAAUAACUCAUGGAAACUUGUGCUAAUACCGAAUGUGCCCUUCGGGGGAAAGAUUUAUCGCCAUUAGAGCGGCCCGCGUCUGAUUAGCUAGUUGGUGAGGUAACGGCUCACCAAGGCGACGAUCAGUAGCUGGUCUGAGAGGAUGACCAGCCACACUGGGACUGAGACACGGCCCAGACUCCUACGGGAGGCAGCAGUGGGGAAUCUUGCGCAAUGGGCGAAAGCCUGACGCAGCCAUGCCGCGUGAAUGAUGAAGGUCUUAGGAUUGUAAAAUUCUUUCACCGGGGACGAUAAUGACGGUACCCGGAGAAGAAGCCCCGGCUAACUUCGUG
rnacentral:rRNA from 1 species